UCCAUAGGUUAAUGAGGCGAACCGGGGGAACUGAAACAUCUAAGUACCCCGAGGAAAAGAAAUCAACCGAGAUUCCCCCAGUAGCGGCGAGCGAACGGGGAGGAGCCCAGAGCCUGAAUCAGCAUGUGUGUUAGUGGAAGCGUCUGGAAAGGCGCGCGAUACAGGGUGACAGCCCCGUACACAAAAGCGCAUGUGCUGUGAGCUCGAUGAGUAGGGCGGGACACGUGGUAUCCUGUCUGAAUAUGGGGGGACCAUCCUCCAAGGCUAAAUACUCCUGACUGACCGAUAGUGAACCAGUACCGUGAGGGAAAGGCGAAAAGAACCCCGGCGAGGGGAGUGAAAAAGAACCUGAAACCGUGUACGUACAAGCAGUGGGAGCACCCUUCGGGGUGUGACUGCGUACCUUUUGUAUAAUGGGUCAGCGACUUAUAUUCUGUAGCAAGGUUAACCGUAUAGGGGAGCCGGAGGGAAACCGAGUCUUAACCGGGCGUUAAGUUGCAGGGUAUAGACCCGAAACCCGGUGAUCUAGCCAUGGGCAGGUUGAAGGUUGGGUAACACUAACUGGAGGACCGAACCGACUAAUGUUGAAAAAUUAGCGGAUGACCUGUGGCUGGGGGUGAAAGGCCAAUCAAACCGGGAGAUAGCUGGUUCUCCCCGAAAGCUAUUUAGGUAGCGCCUCGUGAAUUCAUCUCCGGGGGUAGAGCACUGUUUCGGCUAGGGGGCCAUCCCGGCUUACCAACCCGAUGCAAACUGCGAAUACCGGAGAAUGUUAUCACGGGAGACACACGGCGGGUGCUAACGUCCGUCGUGAAGAGGGAAACAACCCAGACCGCCAGCUAAGGUCCCAAAGUCAUGGUUAAGUGGGAAACGAUGUGGGAAGGCCCAGACAGCCAGGAUGUUGGCUUAGAAGCAGCCAUCAUUUAAAGAAAGCGUAAUAGCUCACUGGUCGAGUCGGCCUGCGCGGAAGAUGUAACGGGGCUAAACCAUGCACCGAAGCUGCGGCAGCGAACGUAUCACCCAAGACAACUUUACGGAGUUGACGAUUGACGGAGCGAAGCGACGUCAAAGCGUUCAUUAAAGUCGAGUUGGCUUAGGGAUACGUUCGUUGGGUAGGGGAGCGUUCUGUAAGCCUGUGAAGGUGUGUCGUGAGGCAUGCUGGAGGUAUCAGAAGUGCGAAUGCUGACAUAAGUAACGAUAAAGCGGGUGAAAAGCCCGCUCGCCGGAAGACCAAGGGUUCCUGUCCAACGUUAAUCGGGGCAGGGUGAGUCGACCCCUAAGGCGAGGCCGAAAGGCGUAGUCGAUGGGAAACGGGUUAAUAUUCCCGUACUUGGUGUUACUGCGAAGGGGGGACGGAGAAGGCUAUGUUGGCCGGGCGACGGUUGUCCCGGUUUAAGCGUGUAGGUGUGUGUUCCAGGUAAAUCCGGUU
rnacentral:rRNA from 1 species